rnacentral:rRNA from 1 species
CCUACGGGGGGCAGCAGUGGGGAAUAUUACACAAUGGAGGAAACUCUGAUGUAGCAACGCCGCGUGGAGGAUGACACAUUUCGGUGCGUAAACUCCUUUUAUGUGAGAAGAUAAUGACGGUAUCACAUGAAUAAGCACCGGCUAACUCCGUGCCAGCAGCCGCGGUAAUACGGAGGGUGCAAGCGUUACUCGGAAUCACUGGGCGUAAAGCGCGCGCAGGCGGCUUUGUAAGUUGGAUGUGAAAUCCUAUGGCUCAACCAUAGAACUGCAUCCAAAACUACUUAGCUAGAGUCUGGGAGGGGAAGAUGGAAUUAGUGGUGUAGGGGUAAAAUCCGUAGAGAUCACUAGGAAUACCAAAAGCGAAGGCGAUCUUCUGGAACAGUACUGACGCUGAGGCGCGAAAGCGUGGGGAGCAAACAGGAUUAGAUACCCCAGUAGU